CCCAUUGCAAUACCUCUAUCAGCAAUUGCUUUAAAUGAGCAUUAGAAGUCUCUCUUGAAGUUUCUUUUUGCAAAACUGUCAAGGAACGUUCAAAUUGCUAUCUUGCCAGCUGUGAAUUAUUUCCUUUGCUCUGGAGUUUGCACUGGCAUGUGGGGAGAGGGUAGGUAGCAAAGAUCCCUUGAAUUUCCAGAGUACAAAAUUAGGGAGUACAGAAUUCCACUGCAUCAUUCCAAAGGAUCCAGAUUGAGUAAAAAAUAAUGUGCUAUCUACGAUAAAACACAGAAUGCGGAUGAUGGUGCUGAUGGGAUUUGAUGCUGGCCAACCCAAAUCAGGAAAAAAGAAAUGUCUACUUCAAACUUGCAUGCCACGAAUUAUUUUUCACAAGAAAAACAUAUUGCUGUGGGAGCUGCAGAAAACUGCCAAAGACUCAGCAUAACAAAGCAGUUAUCUCCCUGCAUCUGAGUGGCAAGAUAGGAAAACAUUUCCUGGUCUCAUCAAUAUUAUUGUAACAUAUUUGUCCUUAGCAAUUACAUUUCUGCCCUUUUACCAUCAUUUUCAAAACAUUGUAUCUCCUUUGGCCCUGUGUGUAUUAGUGCGGUCAUAUAGCACACCCUGAUUGGAAGUGCUAAAGGAGAGUUUGUGGCUUUCCUUUCAUUUUUGGUGAACCAGCGAAAACAAAACUGAUGGUUUUUCCUUAUGCAUAAAGUGUCUUUCACGUAUGAUUGGUUAUGAAAUAUUCUCCAGUUCCACUCCCAACUCCACCCUGUGUGCCGAAAUUUAUGAGAAAGGAAAUGAUAUGAAAGCCCUGAAGAGAAUAAAAUGACUGAGCAAAAAGGGAUCGGCUGCCCA
ensembl:lncRNA